AGAGUUUGAUCAUGGCUCAGAUUGAACGCUGGCGGCAGGCUUAACACAUGCAAGUCGAACGGUAACAGAACUAGCUUGCUAGUUGCUGACGAGUGGCGGACGGGUGAGUAACGCGUAGGAAUCUACCGAAUAGUGGGGGACAACAGUUGGAAACGGCUGCUAAUACCGCAUACGCCCUACGGGGGAAAGGAGGGGAUCUUCGGACCUUUCGCUAUUUGAUGAGCCUGCGUGAGAUUAGUUAGUUGGUGGGGUAAUGGCUCACCAAGGCGACGAUCUCUAGCUGGUCUGAGAGGAUGAUCAGCCACACUGGGACUGAGACACGGCCCAGACUCCUACGGGAGGCAGCAGUGGGGAAUAUUGCACAAUGGGGGAAACCCUGAUGCAGCCAUGCCGCGUGUGUGAAGAAGGCCUUCGGGUUGUAAAGCACUUUCAGUUGUGAGGAAAGGUUAAGGGUUAAUAACCCUUAGCUGUGACGUUAGCAACAGAAGAAG
rnacentral:rRNA from 1 species